UACAGAGGUCCCAAGCGUUGUUCGGAUUCACUGGGCGUAAAGGGCUCGUAGGCGGCUCGCUAAGUCAGACGUGAAAGCCCUCGGCUUAACCGGGGAACGGCGUCUGAGACUGGCAAGCUUGAAUCCGGGAGAGGGAUGCGGAAUUCCAGGUGUAGCGGUGAAAUGCGUAGAUAUCUGGAGGAACACCGGUGGCGAAGGCGGCAUCCUGGACCGGUAUUGACGCUGAGGAGCGAAAGCCAGGGGAGCAAACGGG
rnacentral:rRNA from 1 species